ACGAAAACAUUUUAAUGAGAAGAGUGAAUACCUGAAAAAUGGAUAAGUGCCGAUUGAAGGCUUUUUUUCAAGAAGUGUUUAGAUGUACAUUCUAUCCCUCAAGACCAAUGUGAUCAAUCUCUGGACAGCCAAAAGUGUAUUGGUUAGCACUCCAUCUAAUGGCAGCAUCAGAGAUCUCAUCUUUACAUUUACAGAGAUCUUGAAAUUAUAAAAGAGGUUUAGCUGAGUGACAUAUAUGUAAAGUGAAGAUCCUUU